rnacentral:snoRNA from 1 species
AUCCCAUGGUGUGGGCAUUGCCUCAUUAGCUCCUUAAAUCUUUCCCAAUGCUCAGUUAAGGACUCACUUGCCAAUUGUUUGAAGUUUUGAAUUUCCCUCCUCAUCCU